UUUACAACAAUAAACUGUAUUUUACCAGUCUUUCUUAAUGUAAUGUUUAUCGAAGAAGGAAUAUUGAGGUCUCUGGGUUAUAUUAUAGGUACUUUUUUUUUAAGAUGGAGGCGUCUCGUAUAACUUGGGAGAGGAACUGACUGACUCACUCCACCCUCGUCGGAGUCAUCGCUAUUCUGGCCAGGAGCAGUAACACGCGUCCCUGACAACAUGAAGCUUGGCCCGAGACGUCACCAGCAGGGUUAACAUUGACGUCUGGUAAGCGUGAGGCGAGAGGUGGACCUGUGUGGUGUGAGGCGGGACAAGGAGUACGUGUGUGUUAAUUAACGUUGAGGGCGAGAUGGAGGUGUAGCCGCGAGGACACAGGUAAGACCGCACCACACCUGUCCACAAAGGAGCGCCACCACAAGCAAAAAAAAACAGGCAAUAGUUCGUCUGGCGUAAGAAUAUUUGUGUUGGAGGAGCAGUGUACCUCUCUCUCUGUUUACUGUAUGGUGAGUACUCGACCAGAACCUGCAUACUCGACCAGAACUUGCAUACUCGACCAGAAUUUGUAUACUCGACCAGAAUAUGUAUACUCGACCAGAAUAAACAGCUGUUAUUAUGA